UUUCACCUGGCGCUUUGGGAAAUUCCAGGCUCCAAUGCUGCUCAUAAAUCGCAGAGGCAUAGAUGAUGAGACUCCCACCGAAGCAACGGUGUGGGACUAUUAAGUACAAGAAAAGAUACAAUAGGGAUAACCAAGCCACAUUCACUUUUCCAUAAAAGAUCUCAGCUUCAAUGAAAAAUCAUUUCUGGAGGAAAAAUGUUGUGCUGGAAAAUAGUGACCAGCUCUCACAAUCAUGGCUGAAAAUCCAAAUACACCCAGAUGUGCUGUAAGCCCUUGUUAUCUUUGGGGCAGCCUGAGUUUUUGUGGCGUCCUCAUGUGACGGCUUUUGGAAUGGAGAAAGAACGAAGAGCUGUUGUUUUGCUGGGUUAUCAGAGGAACAAAAACAUCCCUUUUCUGGUGACCUAGAUUUGGGGUCCCUGUGAAGAGGAACCCCCCCAGCCUGAGUUUGGUGUGCGUUACCUUGGCCAGAGCUUGGCUCAGCAAACCAAGCCCAGACAGCUCCUGCCAGGGCCCAGGGCUCACCCGUGCCACCCGGCCAGGCACAAACACAGCAGAGGGGUGCCUGCUGCUGAGGUUAUAGCCCACUUCCCUUCUGCUUGGUACAGCAUCUGCUGGGGGUGAAACCACUGCCCUGAGCGACAGUCACCCCCCGUCCGGGUGAGCGGACAGGGUGGUUCUCUUCUUCUCCUCCCAGCUCCACGCCGCAGUGGGAUGCAGUCCCUGGGACCAUCUGGUGCCUCUUCCUCUCUCUGGCUGACUUCAGUUCUCAGCUGUCAGCCAAGUGGAGUGCUUCAAGCCUGUGUGCUUCUCUAAUGUUUCUUCCUUGCAUGAAUGACAUUAGCCACUGGGAAAAUAUCUGCUUCUUGGUUAGGACACUGGGGAUGCUCACUGGCAGCUCGGAUGACAACCAUGUGUUGCGAGUCAACAGCUUCAGCGAGUACACAGCAGGAAAGGAACUGAGGUUGAGGCGUGGUGGUUCUCCCUUGCAACUGCAGCUCCUUGGCCUUAGGAGAAAGGACCUACACCUCAUCCUACUGGGCAUCAGGACCCUGAAGCACUGAUCCUGCAAGGACUGCAGCCUUAAAAUGGAGAAGAGCUACACCACCAGGUUGGGGCAAAGUUUGGCCCUGCUGCCAGACCACACUCAAGACAAACCAAAGUGAAUAAAUAAAAACAAAGUCCAGAAGUCAGAAGCUUCUGAAAUUGCCAGCCUUGAGUUAACACUGCACUUCUGGACUGAAACAAAUGAUGUUGCAAGCAGACUUUAAACAUGCCGAGAAUCAGUUCGUACUGAAUGUAUCACGCUUAAUGCAUUGAAAAUAUUUCCUAUUGUGAGUUCUGAUGAAAACCUUG